rnacentral:rRNA from 1 species
AUACGUAGGGUGCGAGCGUUGUCCGGAAUUACUGGGCGUAAAGAGCUCGUAGGUGGUUUGUCGCGUCGUCUGUGAAAUUCCGGGGCUUAACUCCGGGCGUGCAGGCGAUACGGGCAUAACUUGAGUACUGUAGGGGAGACCGGAAUUCCUGGUGUAGCGGUGAAAUGCGCAGAUAUCAGGAGGAACACCGGUGGCGAAGGCGGGUCUCUGGGCAGUAACUGACGCUGAGGAGCGAAAGCAUGGGUAGCGAACAGGAUUAGAUACCCUGGUAGUCCAUGCCGUAAACGGUGGGCGCUAGGUGUAGGGGUCUUCCACGACUUCUGUGCCGUAGCUAACGCAUUAAGCGCCCCGCCUGGGGAGUACGGCCGCAAGGCUAAAACUCAAAUGAAUUGACGGGG